rnacentral:tRNA from 1 species
UUUUCUAUAUUUUUUAGGUUUAAAGAAUAUUUUCUAUAAAAAGAUUUAUAAAUAUUUUAUUAAAAAAAUCUAUAAAAAUAAAAAAUUUGUUUUCAGAACAUAUUUAUAUAAAAUAUAAAAAAAUAUUAUAUUUUUUGUUUAAAAAGUAAUUUUUAUUUGUUUAAACAAUAACCUUAAAAUGAAAAAAAAAAAACGUUUAUUUUUUAAUAUUUAAUUUUUUGCGAUUUAUAUAAAAAAA